rnacentral:rRNA from 1 species
CGCGUAGGCGGUUGGAUAAGUCAGCUGUGAAAACCACGAGCUCAACUUGUGGCCUGCAGUUGAGACUGUCUGGCUAGAGUGUGGGAGAGGGAAGUGGAAUUCCUGGUGUAGCGGUGAAAUGCGUAGAUAUCAGGAGGAACACCGGUGGCGAAGGCGGCUUCCUGGACCACAACUGACGCUGAGGCGCGAAAGCUAGGGGAGCAAACAGGAUUAGAUACCCUGGUAGUCCUAGCUGUAAACGAUGGAUACUUGCUGUGGGGGGUGUUAAAUCCCCCUGUGGCGAAGCUAACGCAUUAAGUAUCCCGCCUGGGGAGUACGGUCGCAAGGCUGAA